UACGUAGGGUGCAAGCGUUAAUCGGAAUUACUGGGCGUAAAGCGUGCGCAGGCGGCUUUGCAAGACAGAUGUGAAAUCCCCGGGCUUAGCCUGGGAACUGCAUUUGUGACUGCAUGGCUGGAGUGCGGCAGAGGGGGAUGGAAUUCCGCGUGUAGCAGUGAAAUGCGUAGAUAUGCGGAGGAACACCGAUGGCGAAGGCAAUCCCCUGGGCCUGCACUGACGCUCAUGCACGAAAGCGUGGGAGCAAACAGG
rnacentral:rRNA from 1 species